AGAAUAUCUCACAUAUUUAUAAAGAACCAGAAAAAGAAAAGGAAUUAACCCACUGUAUAGUUAAUUACAGAUAAUCUCAAGUACGAAAGUAUUCUCAUGUGGAAUAGUUUGACACCAUAUUACAGACUGCAUUGCAAACCCAAAUCUAUCUAUAUAUAUCUCACUCUGAGGUUUGAAGGUUUUUCUAAAUAAUACAAAAAUAUCUUCAUUAUUUGACAUUUAAAGAGAGGAAUAAAAAUCCCUGAGUAAGCCAAAGACAACUGAUAUGUAUAGCCUCAGAAAACACACUCAAACCAAGACUUUUAAGGCAGCUUCCAACCUCAGACAGAACACAAAUAGAAAACUGAUGUGUCACAGAAGAAGAAAUCUAAUUAAUGGGUGGAUUUGCAUUGACAAUAGGCUUUGAACUUUACUUCUAAAUGUCAUUGCUUCCCUGCUUAAUUUGCACAUCUUAGAAAGGUACUACUACUGUUAGGACAACAGAGUCAACAUGCCCUUAAAUUCAAAAGGAAAUAUUAAGUACUUGUUGACUGUGCUUGCACACACAGUUUCAACAAGAAAAAAACCCCAAGAAAACAAAACCAGAAGCUGACAGAAAACAAGCAUACUAGCCAGCUAUGGUAAGCUGAUAUUUGUGUUUCCAGGUAAACAAGAUUCAUCGGUUUCUUCCACUGAGGCUUUGAAGUCAAAGUGAGUAUCUUGUAACAGUAUUACGUUGGUGGGGCAGAAUACUAUUUACUUAAAAAUUACAACUAUAUUCAGAUUUAAUAACAAUUUUCAAAGAAAGCAGUGCAAAGUACAUCCUCUCAAAUGAUAUGCUGUUUGCAGGCCUAUACUCUGAAGUCUGUAAACUCUUUAGGACAUUGCCAUCUCCCUGCUUCCCCCUCUCCCCAUAUAUAUACACGUGUAUCUUCAAACACACACACUGAAAAAAAGUACCUUUGCAGUACAGAUCCAAUCUUCUGUAAGACCAGCUUGUAUUUUUAAAGUAUAAAGUAGAUACUUCCUUUAUUGUUUCAGUGUUCUGCUUACAUAAAUUUAUUUUCUUCUAUUCUUUAAUUUUAAGUUAUAUUUGUAUGAUAAAUUUGGAUUAUAACCAAAAGUGAAAAAAAUCUCAGUAGCUGAUUCCUAACACUGAAUUACAUUGCUCUUGUGGCGAUGCGCUGAGAAAGAGGUCUGGCAGCGAACAGCAGCACUCUGAAGUUAGGAAAAAAGAGCAAGGAUAAUCAUUCUCUUCAGAUCUGUAAUGUGCCAGGAAGAGAAACACUGCAAGCAGAGAAUAAGGACAAAAUGGUCUCCUAAGAAUUCAUGACCCCUCCCCUUACCCAAAAUUCACAGAUUUUCCUCAUGAGACAUCAGUGGAUGCUCUAAGACUUAUGUAGCCUACUUAAACAAACAAAACAUUCUAUUUAGGUUAUAAAAUUUCACCGUCUAUCUUGACACAACUAGUCUAUAGCAUUAUAUGCCAAGUCAGAACAGAAGAGCAGGUUUCCAGCUUCCCUGCAAACACAUUUCAGGGAUAUCUUGGGACAGAACAGGCCAGUGACACUUCCUCUUAUCUAAACCCCUCAAUUUUUUUUCUGUACUGGAAGGAUUUCAGAAUGCAGUACUUUUCUAACAAAUCCAUCACACACCCCCAAUCAAUAUUAAUAGACUGCCAUAAAUACUGAAGUGAACCCAAUCAGCAUAUUUGUAAGUAUAAUGGACCUUCAAUACUAAGGAUUAUUUCCCUCUGAGGCACUGCAGUUUGGCGGUGGCAAUCUACACUCUUGCCUAGGACUUGGAAGAUAACCAGCUGUCGUGCUCUGGCAUGUGACGGGGUUUUGGUAUGCUGAACAGAAUGCUGUGUGAUGGAAGUUAUUUACAGAAGUAGUUUUUAAUACCAAAAGUAGUAUGCUCAGUAUACAGUAAGAGUCCAAACACUUCUAAGCAUUUCCCCCUUAAAGGCCGACACUGAAGUUAAACGGAGCACAUGUUAGCAGUUAAAUGCUUUCUUCACAGGCCAAAUCGGUAGUAGAGUUGUGGCUACAAGAGAGACUUUGAUUGUCUAGUUCAGAAACUUAGACUCAAAAAACCCCUCCAAAGUAAUAAUUAAAAAAAAAAACAAACAAAACCCAAAACAUUUAAAAAGCAGCAGUCAGGGGGCCCAUCUUGUUCAGAGUGCACCAGAGCAAAGAGGCUUUCUGGUCUGCAGUAGUGUUUUCAUCUGAGGGAAGAC
ensembl:lncRNA